rnacentral:rRNA from 1 species
AUACGCCAGAGUAAUUUGGUAUUAACUACCCAUAGUAUAAUUGAAUGGCAUCUAUUUAAUUAUUAAAGUUCUAACGGUAUAAGAUGAGCAUGCGUCCCAUUAGCUAGUUGGUGUGGUAACGGCACACCAAGGCGACGAUGGGUAGGGGUCCUGAGAGGGAGAUCCCCCACACUGGUACUGAGACACGGACCAGACUCCUACGGGAGGCAGCAGUGAGGAAUAUUGGUCAAUGGGCGCAAGCCUGAACCAGCCAUGCCGCGUGCAGGAUGACGGUCCUAUGGAUUGUAAACUGCUUUUGUACAGGAAGAAACACUCCCUCGUGAGGGAGCUUGACGGUACUGUAAGAAUAAGGAUCGGCUAACUCCGUG